UAAGGAAUAUUGGUCAAUGGGCGGAAGCCUGAACCAGCCAUGCCGCGUGCAGGAUGACUGCCCUAUGGGUUGUAAACUGCUUUUGUCCAGGAAUAAACCUAGAUACGUGUAUCUAGCUGAAUGUACUGGAAGAAUAAGGAUCGGCUAACUCCGUGCCAGCAGCCGCGGUAAUACGGAGGAUCCGAGCGUUAUCCGGAUUUAUUGGGUUUAAAGGGUGCGUAGGCGGCCUAUUAAGUCAGGGGUGAAAUACGGUGGCUCAACCAUCGCAGUGCCUUUGAUACUGAUGGGCUUGAAUCCAUUUGAAGUGGGCGGAAUAAGACAAGUAGCGGUGAAAUGCAUAGAUAUGUCUUAGAACUCCGAUUGCGAAGGCAGCUCACUAAGCUGGUAUUGACGCUGAUGCACGAAAGCGUGGGGAUCGAACAGGAUUAGAUACCCUGGUAGUCCACGCCCUAAACGAUGAUAACUCGAUGUUGGCGAUAGACAGCCAGCGUCCAAGCGAAAGCGUUAAGUUAUCCACCUGGGGAGUA
rnacentral:rRNA from 1 species